rnacentral:lncRNA from 1 species
AGGGAAUGAGAUGAAUCACAAGCAACGAUAAAAACGACAGCGAAACAAUGGAUAUGUGAAGAAAGGUAGUGAUCGACUCAGAUCAAACAUGAAGUGAAGUCACAUCAAUAAUGAAUGUAAUAAGGGGAAGGACAAUGACUCGGAGUCCUUAGGAGAAGGUCACUCAUCUCUCUCACAGAUAGAUAUGACGGAGCAAUACAAAUAACAUGGGAUCUCAGAGAGCUCACAUACGAACUCCCAAUAACGAACAUACUCGAUAAAAAUGACCCCUAAACAUCAAUAUACAUACUCAACGAUCAAGAACACUAUGCACAUACACACAUGCGCUUUUUAUUAUUCUUUUUUUUUUUUUUUUUUUUUUUUUUUUUUUUUUUACAUAUAUACAAAUACACACACCUUGAACAUGAAUAACUGAACCCCAAAGGUGAUGUCGAUAACAGAUGGACACCAUCCCAAGUGCUAAGGCAACCAAAACUCUCUCUAAUGAGAUGACCUUCUCAAACUAAGGAUCUCUAAACCAAUGUCCGCGAGAUAGAUGGUGGAAAUGAUGUGACUAUCCUCCAUGUGAUGACCUGAGGGGGAUCACCACUCAGGGUGAAGAGAAAUAUGAAACAAACAAGUAGUAGAUAGGAUAAGGAAGAAGAGAUGAAUAACAUAACCAACAAGAUGAGACGAAAAUGCAAAAGUGCAGUGAUAGGAAAAGAUAAUGAGAAAAACAUGCCCCUAGGUCCAAGGCUCAUGAAACUACCAAACAAUGCAUACAUACAUUAAAAGGCCCCUAUCCUGGUGUGAACAUGUGAGCAAGGCGAUAAGAAAUAAAGGCUAUAAUGCGCAUGCGAGGCUCAAUGGGCUAGCAACGGACUAUGUAUCAAAAGGGAAUAACA